GACGAACGCUGGCGGCGUGCUUAACACAUGCAAGUCGAACGGAAAGGCCCUGCUUUUGUGGGGUGCUCGAGGGGGGAACGGGGGAGUAACACGUGAGUAACCCGCCCUUGACUUUGGGAUAACUUCAGGAAACUGGGGCUAAUACCGGAUAGGAGCUCCUGCUGCAUGGUGGGCGUUGGAAAGUUUCGGCGGUUGGGGAUGGACGCGCGGCUUAAGAGCUAGUUGGUGGGGUAGUGGUUUACCAAGGCUUGGACGGGUAGCCGGCCUGAGAGGGUGAACGGCGACAUUGGGACUGAGAUAGGCACCAGUCGCGAACGGUCGGCAGCAGUGGGGAAUAUUGCACAAUGGGCGGAAGUCUGAGGCGGAGGCGUUGGGUGCGGGAUGCCGGCUUUCGGGUUGUAAACCGCUUUCGCCUGUGACGAAGCGUGAGUGACGGUAAUGGGUAAAGAAGCACCGGCUAACUACGUG
rnacentral:rRNA from 1 species